AACAAAGAAACCCUUUUAUUUUAUUGCUGUUCUUCAUAUUCAAGUUCACAGACCAGUCCUUCAACAAUGAGAAAAUGUUUAAAUAAAAAAAAUUGUGUAUAAAAAUGUUUUGAUUUGUGUACAUUAAUCUGAAUAAUAAUGACUUUCUUUUAUUUCCAAUUCUACCAAGGAGGACAGAAGAUUAGCAGCCUACAGUGAAAGACUUGAAGAAAUAUAGGCAAUGUAAGUACGAUUAAGUGAUUUUGCUGCUUGUGGCGUUUCCUCGAAGUAGCUGGUUACCUCCAAAUGGGACGACAGUCAUGGAUGUUGAGAAUGGCCCACGUCGCAGACUCGCGAGGACGGGCGGCCUCGGAUGUUCGCUAGCGGCCUACGACAGCUACAGGCUUUCUGCCCAUGCCUGUAGAAGGGGACUUUGAGAUGUCAUGCUGAAGUUUUCUGGAGAUUAUCUGGUUUCAUUUUUGGGAAGCAGUCCACAUGGAAAAAUGAUGCAGCCAA
rnacentral:lncRNA from 1 species